GAGAGAUGAGAAGCAGCACUUCAAGGAUUCAGUCCUUUUUGUUGUUGAUAUGAUGUGUAGCAAAAUGGUAUGGUGAAUAUAAUGUUGGACAUGGAGCCAGGAACCCCAAGUUCAGAUAUCACCACAAAAUCCUGCUAGCUCUGUGCUGGGUUCCAGUUUCUUUAAAAGGCAAAGCCCAAGGACAAGCUCAAAGCACCGAAUGAAAUAGACUACCUCAAAAGACCAUAAAAAUCAAGCUUGGAAGAGGGACUCUCCAGUAUGCCACAGCAAUGAAGAAAAUUAUAUCCUAGAGUAUGAAAUAAGUUACAUAUGGAAUGUUGGAACUACUGUUUUUUGAGAUAUUAUAAAGAAUGGAGGAAGUUCCAGGAAAAUGAAGACAGGAUAAUAUCUCCAUUUUAAAAGAAGAUAUAAGAUGGACACAUGGGUUACCCUCCCACCAUUACUUUCAUGAAGUGCUAGUAAUUUUUGCCUGGAAUUUCUGUUCCUCCAUUCAUGUAAGUAGUCUGUCAUCUUUAUCUUACCUCAACUCAUCCCAUCUAUUCUACUUUAAUGGUAUUUUUCUCCUGGUACUGUAGACAAUUUCCUCUUUAUUUUUGCUGCUUUUUCAAGGACACCUAUCUGUUUCUUAUAUCACUCCAUUAUUUCUUUUGAUUACCUGUGGCUUUUUUUCUGGAACCUUUGAGACAGUCUCUUUCCUAAAGAUUGAUCACACCAAAAGUCCAGUCACAGAGGAAAGCACUGAACAAGUGAAC